rnacentral:rRNA from 1 species
GACGUAGGGUGCGAGCGGUAAUCGGAAUUACUGGGCGUAAAGCGUGCGCAGGCGGCUUUGCAAGACAGAUGUGAAAUCCCCGGGCUCAACCUGGGAACUGCAUUUGUGACUGCAAGGCUAGAGUACGGCAGAGGGGGAUGGAAUUCCGCGUGUAGCAGUGAAAUGCGUAGAUAUGCGGAGGAACACCAAUGGCGAAGGCAAUCCCCUGGGCCUGUACUGACGCUCAUGCACGAAAGCGUGGGGAGCAAACAGG